UAUAAUACAUUAUAACUUUGUAAGUAGUUUUUCCAUUUAAAAUACAUUUAUUUAUUUAAAGUUUCUUUAGCCAGUGUGUUUUGUUGCUUUGUAGUGGAAUUGGCUAUGAUAAUGAACCGUCUCUAUGGUGGAGUGUGUUAUGCAGGAAUUGAUACUGACCCUGAACUAAAAUACCCCAAAGGUGCUGGACGAGUGGCUUUUUCCAAUCAACAGAGCUACAUUGCAGCCAUCAGUGCCCCGUUUGUUCAGUUUCAACAUGGUGAUAUUGAUAAACGAGUGGAAGUAAAACCAUAUGUGUUGGAUGACCAGAUGUGUGAUGAAUGCCAGGGUGCACGAUGUAGUGGAAAGUUUGCUCCCUUUUUUUGUGCCAAUGUUACUUGUCUGCAGUUUGCUGGGCAAACCUCCACUCUCGGGCAGGGCGUGAAUUCCAUAAGCCAUUGGUCAAGGAGGGGGCAGACCAGCCACCGCAGAUCCACUUCCGCUGGAAUUGAAAAGGAAGGAAGGAAGGAAGGAAGGAAGGAAGGAAGGAAGGAAGGAAGGAAGGAAGGAAGGAAGGAAGGAAGGAAGGAAGGAAGGAAGGCUUCCUCAGCUUGAAGAUACUGAUAUGUAGAAGAAAUAAUUGCAUUUUCUGUUUUUCACCCCAGCUCUCUUAAAUCUACAUCUGUUUUCAGCAGCCAAAAUACUACAAAGCCUCUUGUUUUUCCCCCAAAUCCUACAUCUCAGGCUUACUAGUUUUUUUUCUGAUAUUUUCAUGUAAUAAUAAUAAUAAUUUGUAUUUUGUCCAAUUUAUUUUUAUAUGUAGAAUUAAAUGAGAGAAUGUUUUUUUUG